UAGGGAAUCUUCGGCAAUGGACGGAAGUCUGACCGAGCAACGCCGCGUGAGUGAAGAAGGUUUUCGGAUCGUAAAGCUCUGUUGUAAGAGAAGAACGAGUGUGAGAGUGGAAAGUUCACACUGUGACGGUAUCUUACCAGAAAGGGACGGCUAACUACGUGCCAGCAGCCGCGGUAAUACGUAGGUCCCGAGCGUUGUCCGGAUUUAUUGGGCGUAAAGCGAGCGCAGGCGGUUAGAUAAGUCUGAAGUUAAAGGCUGUGGCUUAACCAUAGUACGCUUUGGAAACUGUUUAACUUGAGUGCAAGAGGGGAGAGUGGAAUUCCAUGUGUAGCGGUGAAAUGCGUAGAUAUAUGGAGGAACACCGGUGGCGAAAGCGGCUCUCUGGCUUGUAACUGACGCUGAGGCUCGAAAGCGUGGGGAGCAAACAGGAUUAGAUACCCUGGUAGUCCACGCCGUAAACGAUGAGUGCUAGGUGUUAGACCCUUUCCGGGGUUUAGUGCCGCAGCUAACGCAUUAAGCACUCCGCCUGGGGAGUACGACCGCAAGGUUG
rnacentral:rRNA from 1 species